CCCUGGUGGCUCAAACUGUGAAGAGUCUGCUUGCAAUGCAGGAGACCUGGGUUCAAUCCCUGGAUCAGGAA
rnacentral:tRNA from 1 species